UACAGAGGUUGCGAGCGUUGUUCGGAAUUAUUGGGCGUAAAGCGCUUGUAGGCGGCACGUCAAGUCGCGUGUGAAAUCCCCAGGCUUAACCUGGGAAGUGCGCGCGAAACUGACGAGCUUGAGUGCCGGAGAGGGUCGCGGAAUUCCCGGUGUAGAGGUGAAAUUCGUAGAUAUCGGGAGGAACACCAGUGGCGAAGGCGGCGACCUGGACGGACACUGACGCUGAGACGCGAAAGCGUGGGGAGCAAACAGG
rnacentral:rRNA from 1 species